UACGGAAGGCAGCAGUGGGGAAUAUUGCACAAUGGGCGAAAGCCUGAUGCAGCUAUGCCGCGUGUAUGAAGAAGGCCUUAGGGUUGUAAAGUACUUUCAUUGGGGAGGAAAAACAAAACUAAUAAUUUUAUUUCUUGACGUUACCCGAAAAAGAAGCACCGGCUAACUCCGUGCCAGCAGCCGCGGUAAUACGGAGGGUGCUAGCGUUAAUCAGAAUUACUGGGCGUAAAGAGCACGUAGGUGGUUUUUUUAAGUCAGAUGUGAAAUCCCUGGGCUUAACCUGGAACUGCAUUUUGAAACUGAAAUACUAGAGUAUCGUAGAGGGAGGUAGAAUUCUAGGUGUAGCGGUGAAAUGCGUAGAUAUCUGGAGGAAUACCUGUGGCGAAAGCGGCCUCCUAAACGAAUACUGACACUGAGGUGCGAAAGCGUGGGGAGCAAACAGGGAUUAGAUACC
rnacentral:rRNA from 1 species